GAGACCCACGCCAACAGUUGCCAGCUCGUCCUCCGGGAUGGAGGGGACACUGUUGGGACCGCCUCUGCUAAAGAGGAGGAAGGAAUGGGCAACGGUAGGUCAGCAUGCCCCGAAUUAUCCGGGCUACACGCGGGCUACAAUGGGUGGGACAAUGGGUAUCGACACCGAGAGGUGAAGGCAAUCUCCUAAACCCAUCCUUAGUUCGGAUUGUGGGCUGCAACUCGCCCACAUGAAGCUGGAAUCCGUAGUAAUCGUGUCUCAAAAUGGCACGGUGAAUAU
rnacentral:rRNA from 1 species